CUUGAUUAGUUGGCUACAUUGUUGACCUAUAUUUAAGCAGAUCUAUAAACAAAAGAACAAUUUCACUUCCUUAGGGCCCACAGCAGAGGAAAUGGCAAUGAGCAAAGAGCAGAGUCCUUGGCUUCCCUUUUUCAGAAUCUUCUAGGCCAUGAUCAUUGGUGCCUCUGUGGACAGCCUCUGUCUGCAGAUCAGAGCACCAUUGCCAGUUGCCAAGAGGAACUUUCUCUGAGGCUUCUGGAAGAGGAAUCCAUGCUGCUGUGGCUUUUGCUGCUGGUUCUAGGGAUCCCUGUGUCUUUUGUCUCCAUGGAAACGCUACCUCCAAGGGGGCAGGUGGUUGAAGAGAAGAUGCUGGCUGGUCCUUGUCUGCUCUGAGUCUGAAGGCACAGGGGGCAUCAUGUUUUCCUGACACAGAGAG
rnacentral:lncRNA from 1 species